CCUACGGGAGGCAGCAGUGGGGAAUAUUGGACAAUGGGGGGAACCCUGAUCCAGCCAUGCCGCGUGUGUGAAGAAGGCCCUCGGGUUGUAAAGCACUUUCAGUGAGGAAGAACGCCUGGUGGUUAAUACCCAUCAGGAAAGACAUCACUCACAGAAGAAGCACCGACUAACUCCGUGCCAGCAGCCGCGGUAAUACGGAGGGUGCGAGCGUUAAUCGGAAUUACUGGGCGUAAAGCGCGCGUAGGUGGCUUGAUAAGCCGGUUGUGAAAGCCCCGGGCUCAACCUGGGAACGGCAUCCGGAACUGUCAAGCUAGAGUGCAGGAGAGGAAGGUAGAAUUCCCGGUGUAGCGGUGAAAUGCGUAGAGAUCGGGAGGAAUACCAGUGGCGAAGGCGGCCUUCUGGACUGACACUGACACUGAGGUGCGAAAGCGUGGGUAGCAAACAGGAUUAGAUACCCUGGUAGUC
rnacentral:rRNA from 1 species